rnacentral:rRNA from 1 species
UUCAACAACGGAUCUCUUGGUUCCAGCAUCGAUGAAGAACGCAGCGAAAUGCGAUAACUAAUGUGAAUUGCAGAAUUCAGUGAAUCAUCGAGUCUUUGAACGCACAUUGCGCCCCUCGGUAUUCCGGGGGGCAUGCCUGUUCGAGCGUCAUUACACCC